rnacentral:tRNA from 1 species
AGCUCAGUGGUAGAGCAUGUGCUUAGCAUGCACAAGGUCCUGGGUUCAAUCCCCAG